rnacentral:misc_RNA from 1 species
UGGUUCUGGCAUCGAUGAAGAACGCAGCGAAAUGCGAUAAGUAAUGUGAAUUGCAGAAUUCAGUGAAUCAUCGAAUCUUUGAACGCACAUUGCGCCCUUUGGCAUUCCGAAGGGCAUGCCUGUUCGAGCGUCAUUACACCCACUCAAGCCUGGCUUGGUGUUGGGCGCCGCGGCCUGCCGCGCGCCUUAAUGUCUGCCGGCCGAACCGUCCGUCUCUAAGCGUUGCGGCAUCUCAUGUUUUCGCUUUGGAGCCCGGGCGGCGUCGCGCCGUAAAACCUUUAUUUCAGGUUGACCUCGGAUCAGGUAGGGAUACCCGCUGA